GCUGCUCAAAAUUAAAUGUCAUGGAGAUAAUGAGCCACUACCAUGCUUAUGCAAGAGAAAACAUAAUAACCAACAGUAUAGUAAGCAAAUACCUACUCCUGUAACG
rnacentral:lncRNA from 1 species